UACGUAGGUGGCAAGCGUUGUCCGGAAUUACUGGGCGUAAAGCGUGCGCAGGCGGUUCGCCGUGUCCGAUGUGAAAGCCCCGGGCUUAACCUGGGAAUGGCAUUGGAAACUGGCGGGCUUGAGUGUGGGCAGAGGGGGGGUGGAAUUCCACGUGUAGCAGUGAAAUGCGCAGAUAUCAGGAGGAACACCGGUGGCGAAGGCGGCAUCCUGGACCAACACUGACGCUGAGGAGCGAAAGCCAGGGGAGCAAACGGG
rnacentral:rRNA from 1 species